rnacentral:rRNA from 1 species
UACAGAGGGUGCAAGCGUUGUUCGGAAUUAUUGGGCGUAAAGCGCGCGAAGGUGGUGCGGUAAGUCUGCCGUGAAAUCUCCCGGCUCAACUGGGAGGGGGCGGUGGAGACUGCCGGACUGGAGGGACCUAGAGGCCGGUGGAAUUCCCGGUGGAGUGGUGAAAUGCGUAGAGAUCCGGAGGAACACCGACGGCGUAGGCAGCGCCCUAGACGAGACCUGACGCUCAGGCACGAAAGCGCGGGGAGCGAACAGG